rnacentral:rRNA from 1 species
AUGCAAGUCGAACGAGAUUAAGGGGCUUGCUCCUUAUGAAAGUGGCGCACGGGUGCGUAACGCGUAUGCAACCUACCUUAAUCAGGGGGAUAGCCCGAAGAAAUUCGGAUUAACACCGCAUAAAAACACAGAGCAGCAUUGCUCAAUGUUCAAAUAUUUAUAGGAUUAAGAUGGGCAUGCGUGUCAUUAGCUAGUUGGCGGGGUAACGGCCCACCAAGGCGACGAUGACUAGGGGAUCUGAGAGGAUGACCCCCCACACUGGUACUGAGACACGGACCAGACUCCUACGGGAGGCAGCAGUAAGGAAUAUUGGUCAAUGGAGGGAACUCUGAACCAGCCAUGCCGCGUGCAGGAAGACGGCCCUCUGGGUUGUAAACUGCUUUUAUUCGGGAAUAAACCACAUUACGUGUAGUGUGCUGAAUGUACCGAAGGAAUAAGGAUCGGCUAACUCCGUGCCAGCAGCCGCGGUAAUACGGAGGAUCCAAGCGUUAUCCGGAUUUAUUGGGUUUAAAGGGUGCGUAGGCGGCUUAUUAAGUCAGGGGUGAAAGACGGUGGCUCAACCAUCGCAGUGCCCUUGAUACUGAUGAGCUUGAAUGGACUAGAGGUAGGCGGAAUGUGACAAGUAGCGGUGAAAUGCAUAGAUAUGUCACAGAACACCGAUUGCGAAGGCAGCUUACUAUGGUUUUAUUGACGCUGAGGCACGAAAGCGUGGGGAUCAAACAGGAUUAGAUACCCUGGUAGUCCACGCCCUAAACGAUGAAUACUCGCUGUUAGCGAUAUACAGUUAGCGGCUAAGCGAAAGCGUUAAGUAUUCCACCUGGGGAGUACGCCCGCAAGGGUGAAACUCAAAGGAAUUGACGGGGGCCCGCACAAGCGGAGGAGCAUGUGGUUUAAUUCGAUGAUACGCGAGGAACCUUACCCGGGCUUGAAAGUUAGUGAAUGAUCUAGAGAUAGGUCAGUGAGCAAUCACACGAAACUAGGUGCUGCAUGGCUGUCGUCAGCUCGUGCCGUGAGGUGUUGGGUUAAGUCCCGCAACGAGCGCAACCCCUAUGUUUAGUUGCCAGCACGUUAAGGUGGGGACUCUAAACAGACUGCCUGUGCAAACAGAGAGGAAGGAGGGGACGACGUCAAGUCAUCAUGGCCCUUACGUCCGGGGCUACACACGUGCUACAAUGGAUGGUACAGAGGGCAGCAAGCUGGCAACAGCAAGCGAAUCUCAAAAAGCCAUUCACAGUUCGGAUAGAGGUCUGCAACUCGACCUCUUGAAGUUGGAUUCGCUAGUAAUCGCGUAUCAGCAAUGACGCGGUGAAUACGUUCCCGGGCCUUGUACACACCGCCCGUCAAGCCAUGGAAGUUGGGGGUACCUAAAGUAUGUAACCGCAAGGAGCG